AAUGAAUUGCCUGAAAAAGGAUUACCUUGAUAGGGUAAAUUAUAUAAUUGAAAUUAUAUUCAUUA
rnacentral:tRNA from 1 species